rnacentral:rRNA from 1 species
UGCAAGUCGAACGAUGAAGCCUUUCGGGGUGGAUUAGUGGCGAACGGGUGAGUAACACGUGGGCAAUCUGCCCUUCACUCUGGGACAAGCCCUGGAAACGGGGUCUAAUACCGGAUAACACUCUGUCCUGCAUGGGACGGGGUUAAAAGCUCCGGCGGUGAAGGAUGAGCCCGCGGCCUAUCAGCUUGUUGGUGGGGUAAUGGCCUACCAAGGCGACGACGGGUAGCCGGCCUGAGAGGGCGACCGGCCACACUGGGACUGAGACACGGCCCAGACUCCUACGGGAGGCAGCAGUGGGGAAUAUUGCACAAUGGGCGAAAGCCUGAUGCAGCGACGCCGCGUGAGGGAUGACGGCCUUCGGGUUGUAAACCUCUUUCAGCAGGGAAGAAGCGAAAGUGACGGUACCUGCAGAAGAAGCGCCGGCUAACUACGUGCCAGCAGCCGCGGUAAUACGUAGGGCGCAAGCGUUGUCCGGAAUUAUUGGGCGUAAAGAGCUCGUAGGCGGCUUGUCACGUCGGAUGUGAAAGCCCGGGGCUUAACCCCGGGUCUGCAUUCGAUACGGGCUAGCUAGAGUGUGGUAGGGGAGAUCGGAAUUCCUGGUGUAGCGGUGAAAUGCGCAGAUAUCAGGAGGAACACCGGUGGCGAAGGCGGAUCUCUGGGCCAUUACUGACGCUGAGGAGCGAAAGCGUGGGGAGCGAACAGGAUUAGAUACCCUGGUAGUCCACGCCGUAAACGUUGGGAACUAGGUGUUGGCGACAUUCCACGUCGUCGGUGCCGCAGCUA